GUCGAACGAUGAAGCUGGAGCUUGCUCCGGUGGAUUAGUGGCGAACGGGUGAGUAACACGUGAGCAAUCUGCCCUUGACUCUGGGAUAACUGCGGGAAACUGUAGCUAAUACCGGAUACGACCCUUGGAGGCAUCUCUGGGGGUGGAAAGAAUUUCGGUCAAGGAUGAGCUCGCGGCCUAUCAGCUAGUUGGUGAGGUAAUGGCUCACCAAGGCGACGACGGGUAGCCGGCCUGAGAGGGUGACCGGCCACACUGGAACUGAGACACGGUCCAGACUCCUACGGGAGGCAGCAGUGGGGAAUAUUGCACAAUGGGCGAAAGCCUGAUGCAGCAACGCCGCGUGAGGGAUGAAGGCCUUCGGGUUGUAAACCUCUUUUAGCAGGGAAGAAGCGAAAGUGACGGUACCUGCAGAAAAAGCACCGGCUAACUACGUGCCAGCAGCCGCGGUAAUACGUAGGGUGCAAGCGUUGUCCGGAAUUAUUGGGCGUAAAGAGCUCGUAGGCGGUUUGUCGCGUCUGCUGUGAAAAUCCGAGGCUCAACCUCGGACCUGCAGUGGGUACGGGCAAACUAGAGUGCGGUAGGGGAGAUGGGAAUUCCUGGUGUAGCGGUGGAAUGCGCAGAUAUCAGGAGGAACACCGAUGGCGAAGGCACAUCUCUGGGCCGUAACUGACGCUGAGGAGCGAAAGCGUGGGGAGCGAACAGGAUUAGAUACCCUGGUAGUCCACGCCGUAAACGGUGGGUGCUAGUUGUGGGUUCCAUUCCACGGAAUCCGUGACGAAGUUAACACAUUAAGCACCCCGCCUGGGGAGUACGGUCGCAAGACUAAAACUCAAAGGAAUUGACGGGGGCCCGCACAAGCGGCGGAGCAUGCGGAUUAAUUCGAUGCAACGCGAAGAACCUUACCAAGGCUUGACAUAUACAGGAAAAGCGUAGAAUACGCUUCCCCGCAAGUCUGUAUACAGGUGGUGCAUGUGUCG
rnacentral:rRNA from 1 species